rnacentral:rRNA from 1 species
GAUGAACGCUGGCGGCGUGCCUAAUACAUGCAAGUCGAGCGAACAGACGAGGAGCUUGCUCCUCUGACGUUAGCGGCGGACGGGUGAGUAACACGUGGAUAACCUACCUAUAAGACUGGGAUAACUUCGGGAAACCGGAGCUAAUACCGGAUAAUAUAUUGAACCGCAUGGUUCAAUGGUGAAAGACGGUUUUGCUGUCACUUAUAGAUGGAUCCGCGCCGCAUUAGCUAGUUGGUAAGGUAACGGCUUACCAAGGCAACGAUGCGUAGCCGACCUGAGAGAGUGAUCGGCCACACUGGAACUGAGACACGGUCCAGACUCCUACGGGAGGCAGCAGUAGGGAAUCUUCCGCAAUGGGCGAAAGCCUGACGGAGCAACGCCGCGUGAGUGAUGAAGGUCUUCGGAUCGUAAAACUCUGUUAUUAGGGAAGAACAAAUGUGUAAGUAACUAUGCACGUCUUGACGGUACCUAAUCAGAAAGCCACGGCUAACUACGUG